UACGUAGGGGGCGAGCGUUGUCCGGAGUUACUGGGCGUAAAGCGCACGUAGGCGGAUCGAUCAGUCAGGGGUGAAAUCCCAGAGCUCAACUCUGGAACUGCCUUUGAUACUGUCGAUCUGGAGUAUGGAAGAGGUGAGUGGAAUUCCGAGUGUAGAGGUGAAAUUCGUAGAUAUUCGGAGGAACACCAGUGGCGAAGGCGGCUCACUGGUCCAUUACUGACGCUGAGGUGCGAAAGCGUGGGGAGCAAACAGG
rnacentral:rRNA from 1 species